AAAGCAGCUAGUUCUGAGUGCCAAACACAAAGAACGAAGGAACCAUGGCUGCUCUGAAAGCUCUCAUAUGCGUCGUGUUACUACUUGGAGUCAUCGGCUUCGCCUCCCCUCACAUCUCGGCGGGGCGUAUCGCUCCGGUGGUCGCUCCGGCAGUCCAUUGUGCAUCGACUGUCGAACCGAGCACCGUAUCUACUGUAACAGGUGAGUUUAAUUGUUACUUAGUUUUUUUUCCAUAAGCACGUACGUGACCCUUGUCGCGACCGUGAUAUCUAUCUGCUAUGAAUAGGAGGAUGCAGUGGUAGCGCUCCAGCUACCACAGAAGAGAAGGGACUGCUGCCUUCGAGAGGCAUCUUCCUUCCGCCCCUCCUCCCGCCAUCGCGUGAAAACCUGCUGAAAGUUCCACCAGGAAGCACCCCCUAAGGUGAAGGAAAAACAAGAUGGAACCACUAAGUCAUAAUAUUGAAUAAUGAUGUAACAGUUCUGGUUAUCGUGCAUGUAUGCCACCAUGGGGAGCCACGUAUGUUUCAAUUCACUGGUCUGUUCCGACAUACUCCUAUAUGUUUUAAUAGCAACUCGAUCGUUGGAAUGUUACAUCGAGUUUAUUAGCAGAAGUUUUUAUGCUAGCUCUGGUGAAACGUUCGAUCAAAUUUCUUGCAA
rnacentral:lncRNA from 1 species